GUGAGGAAUAUUGGACAAUGGGCGCAAGCCUGAUCCAGCCAUGCCGCGUGCAGGAAGACGCAUCUAUGGUGUGUAAACUGCUUUUGUACGGGAAGAAACACUCCCUCGUGAGGGAGCUUGACGGUACCGUAAGAAUAAGGAUCGGAUAACUCCGUGCCAGCAGCCGCGGUAAUACGGAGGAUCCAAGCGUUAUCCGGAAUCAUUGGGUUUAAAGGGUACGUAGGCGGUUUAAUAAGUCAGUGGUGAAAGCCCAUCGCUCAACGAUGGAACGGCCAUUGAUACUGUUAGACUUGAAUUACAAGGAAGUAACUAGAAUAUGUAGUGUAGCGGUGAAAUGCUUAGAUAUUACAUGGAAUACCAAUUGCGAAGGCAGGUUACUACUUGUGGAUUGACGCUGAUGGACGAAAGCGUGGGGAGCGAACAGGAUUAGAAACCCCAGUAGUCC
rnacentral:rRNA from 1 species